rnacentral:rRNA from 1 species
UACGUAGGGGGCAAGCGUUGUCCGGAAUUACUGGGCGUAAAGCGCGCGUAGGCGGCUUAGCAAGUUAGAGGUGAAAGCCCGAAGCUCAACUUCGGAAUUGCCUUUAAAACUGCAAAGCUAGAAUCAUGGAGAGGUGAGUGGAAUUCCGAGUGUAGAGGUGAAAUUCGUAGAUAUUCGGAAGAACACCAGUGGCGAAGGCGACUCACUGGACAUGUAUUGACGCUGAGGUGCGAAAGCGUGGGGAGCAAACAGG